CCUACGGGAGGCAGCAGUCGAGAAUCAUUCACAAUGGGGGAAACCCUGAUGGUGCGACGCCGCGUGGGGGAAUGAAGGUCUUCGGAUUGUAAACCCCUGUCAUGUGGGAGCAAAUUAAAAAGAUAGUACCACAAGAGGAAGAGACGGCUAACUCUGUGCCAGCAGCCGCGGUAAUACAGAGGUCUCAAGCGUUGUUCGGAAUCACUGGGCGUAAAGCGUGCGUAGGCUGUUUCGUAAGUCGUGUGUGAAAGGCGGGGGCUCAACCGGAGGACGGCACAUGAUACUGGGAGACUAGAGUAAAGGAGGGGGAACCGGAAUUCGCGGUGUAGCAGUGAAAUGCGUAGAUAGCGAGAGGAACACUCGUGGCGAAGGCAGGUUCCUGGACAUUAACUGACGCUGAGGCACGAAGGCCAGGGGAGCGAAAGGGAUUAGAUACCCCUGUAGUC
rnacentral:rRNA from 1 species